UUCACUCUUGGUAUGGUCUAAAAAAAACGAAGAGGGAAAAGGCUGAGCUAUCGAGUGGUUCGAGAUAGACGGUGCCAAAAUUUACCCUUACCACCAGCAAUGACCGCCAGCAGCCCCGCCUCCUCCUCCACCCGCCGCUAGCACAGCUCCUUGUCCCAGCCUCGUCGAAAACCAUAAUCGCUCCAUUGCUUCUGCCUCUCUGCUCUUUGUUGCCUUCGUUGUUCUCUACCACUGCCUUGCCACAUUUGUAAGUCCAUGGAUUAUUUUUCCUGUGAAUCUCUUAGUCUACUCGCUAAUCUCCACCACUUUGCAUCCAUGCUCUUCGCCUCUCUGCUUUCCACCUCCCUAUCUCCAUGCUCUCCGCAUCUCUACUCUGCGUUGCCCUCUUUGUAUUCUGCCUCUGCCUCGCCCAAUUUAUGGUGUUGUUAUUAGUGGUGGAUUGCAAAUUUUGAUGGUGGAUUGAAGUGGCUUGGUGGACUAUACUGGCUUGGUAGAUUGCUGGUUGAGGUUAUAUUCAUGAUAUUGUGUGAUGAGAAUCCCCAAUUCUGAAGGAUUAAUGAUGACUUGUAAUUAUUGAGGCAAUUUUUGUGUCUUUGACGUUGAGAGCAGCUUCACAGUAGCAGUGGCGGCAUCAGGAGCUUUCUUCACAGCAACAACGGCGGGCGGGCGGGCCUUCGAUGACGGGUAGCUAGCAGCACUGGUGGAGCUCCUUGCAACGUCGACGUGACCCCAACGGCAGGAAGAGGCUUGUUAUUUUUUUUCUCGUUUCUUUGAUAAAUGACAUUUUCAUGUAUUGAAUUCUUCAAUAAUCAUUCUAUUCAAUGUUUGUUUUUGCACAUAA